rnacentral:rRNA from 1 species
AACGAACGCUGGCGGCAGGCCUAACACAUGCAAGUCGAGCGCCCCGCAAGGGGAGCGGCGGACGGGUGAGUAACACGUGGGAAUUUUCCUCAAGGUACGGAACAACUCAGGGAAACUUGGGCUAAUACCGUAUGAUGCAGAGAUGACAAAGAUUUAUCGCCUUGGGAUAAGCCCGCGUCAGAUUAGGUAGUUGGUGGGGUAACGGCCUACCAAGCCUGUGAUCUGUAGCUGGUCUGAGAGGACGAUCAGCCACAUUGGGACUGAGACACGGCCCAAACUCCUACGGGAGGCAGCAGUGGGGAAUCUUGCGCAAUGGACGAAAGUCUGACGCAGCCAUGCCGCGUGAAUGAUGAAGGUCUUAGGAUUGUAAAGUUCUUUAGCCUGUGACGAUGAUGACGGUAACAGGAGAAUAAGCCCCGGCUAACUUCGUGCCAGCCGCCGCGGUAAUAC